rnacentral:rRNA from 1 species
GACGAACGCUGGCGGCGUGCCUAAUACAUGCAAGUAGAACGCACAGGAUGCACCGUAGUUUACUACACCGUAUUCUGUGAGUUGCGAACGGGUGAGUAACGCGUAGGUAACCUGCCUGGUAGCGGGGGAUAACUAUUGGAAACGAUAGCUAAUACCGCAUAAGAACAUUUACUGCAUGGUAGAUGUUUAAAAGGUGCAAAAGCAUCACUACCAGAUGGACCUGCGUUGUAUUAGCUAGUUGGUGAGGUAACGGCUCACCAAGGCAACGAUACAUAGCCGACCUGAGAGGGUGAUCGGCCACACUGGGACUGAGACACGGCCCAGACUCCUACGGGAGGCGCAGUAGGGAAUCUUCGGCAAUGGGGGGAACCCUGACCGAGCAACGCCGCGUGAGUGAAGAAGGUUUUCGGAUCGUAAAGCUCUGUUGUUAAGGAAGAACGUGUGUGAGAGGGAAAGUUCACA